UACGUAGGGUGCGAGCGUUGUCCGGAAUUAUUGGGCGUAAAGGGCUCGUAGGCGGUUUGUCGCGUCGGGAGUGAAAACCUCGGGCUUAACUCGGGGCUUGCUUUCGAUACGGGCAGACUGGAGGUAUGCAGGGGAGAACGGAAUUCCUGGUGUAGCGGUGAAAUGCGCAGAUAUCAGGAGGAACACCGGUGGCGAAGGCGGCUUGCUGGGGCCUUACCUGACGCUGAGGAGCGAAAAGCGUGGGGAGCGAACAGG
rnacentral:rRNA from 1 species